AGAAUGAUCAGGGAAGACAUGACUGAAAUGAUGCUUUCUGGGUAAAGAUUGAAGGAUAUGAGGAGAGGGUCAUGUAGCUGUUUGAUCGAAGAGCAUUCUUGGCAGAGGAAAUGCCAGGCCAAAGUCUCUAUGGCAGGACUACACUAGGAGAGAUAAAAUGUUCUACAGGAAUCAAAGCUUGUCAUUCACUCAGGCCCUCACUUGGUGGCAGUAUGUUAGAGAAGACUGCUUGUUCCAGAGCCUGGUUCUCAGCUUUGCAAUCUACAGAUGGUUCAUUCUAGCCACGUGUGCAAGGAUGUGAUAUACUAGAGUGCACAUUGAUUACUUGAACUUCCUUGAAAUAUCAUUUUCAAGACAAGACUACUAAGGACUAAUCUUCAUCAUCAUCAUCAUCAUUAACAUAAUCACAGCUGACAUUUACUGAACAUUAGCAAUGUGGUAAGCACUGCAGUAGGAGUUUUCACGUGUCUACUCAUGUAAUCCUCAAUGCAACCUUAAAGAAGACUACAAUGCCAGCAUCUGGGAUAACUACUAGAAUGUUCUCUGCCAUCCACUAAGCAUUGAAUCCCUCCAGACACUGUUACAACAGACAAAAACCUGUACUGGGCUAC